CGCACCGUGCUGCGCGGGCGAGGUGGUGCUGCCCCUGGGACUGCGUGGGCGAGGUGGUGCUGCCCCCAGGGCUGUGUGGGGUGAGGUGGUCCUGCCCCCAGGGCUGUGUGGGGCGAGGUGGUCCUUCCCCCAGGGCUGUGUGGGCUGAGGUGGUCCUGCCCUCAGGGCUGUGUGGGCUGAGGUGGUCCCGUCCCCCACUGCUGUGUGGGCUGAGGUGGUCCCGUCCCCCAGGGCUGAGUGGGCUGAGGUGGUCCCGUCCCCCACUGCUGUGUGGGCUGAGGUGGUCCUGCCCUCAGGGCUGUGUGGGCUGAGGUGGUCCUGUCCCCCACUGCUGUGUGGGGCUGAGGUGGCCCCGUCCCCCAGGGCUGAGUGGGCUGAGGUGGUCCUGCCCUCAGGGCUGUGUGGGCUGAGGUGGUCCUGUCCCCCACUGCUGUGUGGGGCUGAGGUGGUCCCGUCCCCCAGGGCUGAGUGGGCUGAGGUGGUCCCGUCCCCCAGGGCUGAGUGGGCUGAGGUGGUCCCAUCCCCCACAGCUAUGUAGGGUGAGGUGUUUCCGUCCCCCACUGCUGAGUGGGCUGAGGUGUUUCCGUCCCCCAGGGCUGAGUGGGCUGAGGUGGUCCCAUCCCCCACAGCUAUGUAGGGUGAGGUGUUUCCGUCCCCCACUGCUGAGUGGGCUGAGGUGUUUCCGUCCCCCAGGGCUGAGUGGGCUGAGGUGGUCCCGUCCCCCACUGCUGUGUGGGCUGAGGUGGUCCCGUCCCCCAGGGCUGAGUGGGCUGAGGUGGUCCCAUCCCCCACAGCUAUGUAGGGCGAGGUGUUUCCGUCCCCCACUGCUGUGUGGGCUGAGGUGGUCCCGUCCCCCAGGGCUGUGUGGGCUGAGGUGGUCCCGUCCCCCACUGCUGUGUGGGCUGAGGUGGUCCCGUCCCCCAGGGCUGGGUGGGCUGAGGUGGUCCCAUCCCCCACAGCUAUGUAGGGCGAGGUGUUUCCGUCCCCCACUGCUGUGUGGGCUGAGGUGGUCCCGUCCCCCAGGGCUGUGUGGGCUGAGGUGGUCCCGUCCCCCACUGCUGUGUGGGCUGAGGUGGUCCCGUCCCCCAGGGCUGAGUGGGCUGAGGUGGUCCCAUCCCCCACAGCUAUGUAGGGCGAGGUGUUUCCGUCCCCCACUGCUGUGUGGGCUGAGGUGGUCCCGUCCCCCAGGGCUGAGUGGGCUGAGGUGGUCCCGUCCCCCAGGGCUGAGUGGGCUGAGGUGGUCCCGUCCCCCAGGGCUGAGUGGGCUGAGGUGGUCCCGUCCCCCAGGGCUGAGUGGGCUGAGGUGGUCCCGUCCCCCAGGGCUGAGUGGGCUGAGGUGGUCCCGUCCCCCAGGGCUGAGUGGGCUGAGGUGGUCCCGUCCCCUGGGGCUGUGUGGGGCACAGAGUUUACCUUCCUCACUGGGUGGCCACAGUGGUGCCCGUCUGAUGUCGGAUGCUAUCUGUGGACCGAGUCUCUGCCCAGCUCUGCUCCAGUGGUUCCUCACAGCCGCCCUCCCACUCCGGGUGCACUGAUGAGUGAGUGAAGGCUUGGGGAGCGCUGGGCUGGCAGCCUGACCUCCGUCUGGAGGCCCACAUGGUCCUGGUUUCUGUUCACAUCAUGGCACAGAUUCUCUUCUGGGUGGAAAAGCAAGCUCCUGGCUUUAGCCAUGUUGAAAUCCUUUUAAAGUAGAUUUUUAAAAAUUCGAAUAAUGUGCAAUUUAAAAUCAUAGGUUUUCUGUAAAAGACAAUUUUGAAGUCUAUCUUAAAAACACUGUGGGAACUUUCCUGGUGGUCCAGUGGCUAAGACUCUGCAUUCCCAGUGCAAGGAGUUCAAUCCCUGGUCAGGGAACUAGGUCCCACAUGCCACAACUAAAGAUUCCGCCUGUCUCAGCUAAGACUGAGCAGCCAAGUAAGUAAAUAUGAAUAUUUAAAACAAAGCAUUAUGAGAGUUCAUUUAUUUUGACA